GAAUAAGGCAUGUGUUUGUAGUAGUUUUGUCAGUACUUUUUUAAUAGAUCAUUAGACUCCAGCAUGUGUUUGUAGUAGUUCUGUCAGUACUUGUUAAU